GGUCAAGCUACUAAGGGCGCAUGGUGGAUGCCUUGGCAUCGGGAGGCGAUGAAGGACGUGGUAAGCUGCGAUAAGCUUCGGUUAGCCGCUAAACAGGCUUUGAUCCGGAGAUUUCCGAAUGGGGAAACCCGGCAGGGAUUAUGCCCUGUCAUCGUGCACUGAAUACAUAGGUGUACGAGGCGAACGCAGGGAACUGAAACAUCUAAGUACCUGUAGGAGUAGAAAUCAAACGAGAUUCCGUAAGUAGCGGCGAGCGAACGCGGAACAGCCCAAACCGGCGUCACUAAGGUGAUACCGGGGUUGUGGGGCCCCAAUGUGGGAUUGGUAAAGAAUAGCAGAAGGUUCUGGAAAGGACCGCCAGAGUGGGUGAAAGCCCCGUAUGCGAAAUUCUGAUCCACCCUAGGGUGUCCCCGAGUACCACGGAACACGAGAAAUUCUGUGGGAAUCUGGGAGGACCAUCUUCCAAGGCUAAAUACUACCCGAUGACCGAUAGCGCAUAGUACCGUGAGGGAAAGGUGAAAAGAACUCCGAUGAGGAGAGUGAAAUAGAACCUGAAACCGUGUGCCUACAAGCAGUGGGAGCACUAUGGCUUCGGCCAGUGUGACCGCGUGCCUUUUGCAUAAUGAGUCAGCGAGUUACGCUCAGCAGCGAGGUUAAGCCGAUUAGGUGGAGCCGUAGCGAAAGCGAGUCUUAAUAGGGCGUUUUAGUUGCUGGGAGUAGACCCGAAACCAGGUGAUCUAUCCAUGUGCAGGGUGAAGCGAAGGUAACACUUCGUGAAGGCCCGAACCCACUUAGGUUGAAAACUGAGGGGAUGACGUGUGGAUAGGAGUGAAAGGCUAAUCAAACCUGGAGAUAGCUGGUUCUCCCCGAAAUAUAUUUAGGUAUAGCCUCGUAUGAAUCGUGUCGGAGGUAGAGCACUGGAUGGGCUAGGGGUCUUACCGGAUUACCAAACCUAACCAAACUCCGAAUGCCGGCAACGUAUGUACGGGAGUCAGACUGCGGGUGAUAAGAUCCGUAGUCGAGAGGGAAACAACCCAGAUCGCCAGCUAAGGUCCCUAAGUAUGUGCUAAGUGGCAAAGGAUGUGGAAAUGCACAGACAACCAGGAGGUUGGCUUAGAAGCAGCCACCCUUUAAAGAAAGCGUAAUAGCUCACUGGUCAAGUGGGUCCGCGCCGAAAAUGUAACGGGGCUCAAGCACAUCACCGAAGCUGCGAAUUUGUACCUUAAGGUACGAGUGGUAGGGGAGCAUUGUAGCAACCGCAGAAGGUCGACCGUGAGGACGGCUGGAGGAACUACAAGAGCUUAUGCUGACAUGAGUAACGAAAAUGCGGGUGAGAAACCCGCACGCCGAAAGCCCAAGGUUUCCUCCGUUAAGGUAAUCUGCGGAGGGUUAGUCGGCCCCUAAGGCGAGGCCGAAAGGCGUAGUUGAUGGGAAACAGGUUAAUAUUCCUGUACCACCUGUUAUUGCGAUGGGGGGACGGAGAAGGGUAGGCCAUCCGGGUGUUGGACGUCCCGGUUCAAGCACGUAGGCGGGAGCGGUAGGCAAAUCCGCUGCUCCAUUCAACGCUGAGAUGUGAUGACGAGAGCUUUAAGCUCGCAAAGUGGUUAAUCCCAUGCUUCCAAGAAAAGCCUCUAAGCUUCAGAUAACAGGUGACCGUACCGUAAACCAACUCAGGUGGGUGGGCUGAGAAUGCUCAGGCGAUUGAGAUAACUCUGGUUAAGGAACUCGGCAAAAUGACACCGUAACUUCGGGAGAAGGUGUGCCCUUGCUGGUGAAGAAACUGGCUUUCUGAGCUGGUGGGGGUCGCAGAGAAACGGCGGUAGCGACUGUUUACUAAAAACACAGGACUCUGCUAAGUCGCAAGACGAUGUAUAGGGUCUGACGCCUGCCCGGUGCUGGAAGGUUAAGGGGAGUUGUUAGCUUCUUCGGAAGCGAAGCAGUGAACCGAAGCACCAGUAGACGGCGGCCGUAACUAUAACGGUCCUAAGGUAGCGAAAUUCCUAGUCGGGUAAGUUCCGACCUGCACGAAUGGCGUAACGACUUCCGCACUGUCU
rnacentral:rRNA from 1 species